GAGGCACAUGGCGUGUGAAGAAAAGAAGGAAGACAGACCACACUGAGAAAGCAGGUGUGAGAGGCGGGACUAGCCUAGGGGCCCCGGGUGGAACCCCUGCAAGGCUGCACCUUGGUCCUGCUGACUUGGCCCCUCGGGGCUGGUCUCCUGCCCCUUCUUUCAUCUAAUCCCCCUGCUGCUGCAGGGAAGAUGGACAGCUGAGCCUGGCAAAGGGCAAGCACCUCAGCCACAGGAGAGCAUAGGAAACUCAGAAGUCAGGACAUAGUUGAUGUGUUACCGGUGGGCUUCGGGGACCAGAGGGGAAGCAGAGGGGCGUUCUAAGCCACAACUGAAAUUCCCAGUUCUGGGUUAAACCCCAUGAACCUAAGGGUCUGUGUCGCAUGGCUCCCGGUCGUGAUCCCCUGCCCCCUCACUUAGCUCUAUUUCAGGCUCAGGAGGAGGUCUUAGCUUUCUCUGUUGAGUUUUCAAGCAGUAUGCAUUAAAAUAAGGAAAACCAGCUUCUUGCGUUCUUUGAAAUCGUGCCCCCAUCCUUGGUGUGGUCCUCUGAACACAUCAAGGCCAAGACCAACACUGAUAGACUAUGUAGGUGGGGCGCCAGGCCAAGCUUCCCAUUUUCCUUCCUUCCCAUUACCUGCAGCGUAUUUUACACCAGGAUAAACCUUAACUUUAAAAAUCAUAAGGCUUUCAGGAGUUCGUGUCGUGGCACAGUGGUUAAUGAAUCCGACUAGGAACCAUGAGGUUGCAGGUUCGAUCCCUGGCCUUGCUCAGUGGGUUAAAGAUCCGGCGUUGCCGUGAGCUGUGGUGUAGGUUGCAGACGUGGCUCGGAUCCCGUGUUACUGUGGCUCUGGCGUAGGCUGGUGGCUACAGCUCCGAUUAGACCCCUAGCCUGGGAACCUCCAUAUGCCGCGAGAGUGGCCCAAUAAAUGGCAAAAAGACCAAAAAAAAAAAAAAAAUCAUAAGGCUUUCACAUCUUACUGGAAAGAAGAUGAUCAGUUAAUGGAAUAGUAAACCCUUCCCAACCCACCUUCGGCCUAUGGAACGAGUGGAGACCUGGCAUUUGCAGGGUUAAUAGCUGAGCCUUAGAACUGGUGGGCUGGAGUCAGUCAGCAUCUCAGUGUGGCUUUGUCUUUUAAGAAAAACUGCUUGGUUUUAUGGGGAAGAUGAUAUGCUCGGGAGAAUCACAAAGGUCGCCAAAUAUUUCUUGGAAAGAGCAGUUAUGCAUACAUUGUCAUAGGUGACUUAGACUUAAUGCAUUUAGUCAAAAUAACCCAAGUGCCCACGACGUGCCAGGCAUAGUUGUAGAUGCUACAUCGGUGCUGCCAUUAAGACAGAUCAGGUAAUGGCCCUUAUGAAGGAGACAGAAUAACAAGGAAAGAAAAUAAUUUUAGUUUAUAUUGUGCAGAAAGAAAAACAAGGCUAGAGAAUAUUAGGAGAGGAAUGAGCAGGAUCUCUGAGGAGGUGAUACUUGAGCUACGCCCUGGGGAGUGAGGCACCAGCAAAACUAUGCAGCAGCUUCACUUCUCUUGGCCACAACCCACUCAUCUUAGAGGGAGGGUAGGGGGUGUUAGGUUUCCACAGGUACAAAUAAGGAGGUUAGUUAAGCAUUUCCAACAGCAGUUGCAGGACCACAAGCUGCUCAGCAGAGGCCAGUCUCCAGUGCCCUGUGGAAGAUACUGGUGAGGUUUUCAGAUCUCUGUUCCUGGUGAACAAUUCUCAGCUGGAAGAUGAAAUUCAAAGUCUGUGGGAAACAGUAUGGCAGUUUUUCAAAAAAUUAGACAUUGAAAUACCAUAUGCUCCAGCCUCUGGAUAUGUAUUCCAGGAAUUGAAAGCAGGGACUCAAACAGAUAUUUGUACAACAAUGUUCACAGCGGCAUUAUUCACAAUAACCAAAAGGUGGAAAUAACCCAAAUGCCCAACCACAAAUGAGUGGAUACAGAAAGUGUAGUACAUAAAUCCAAAGGAGUAUUACUCAGCCUUCAAAAAGGAAUAAAGUUCUGACACAUGUUGCAACAGGGAUGGACCUAGAGAAUAUUACACUGAGUGAAAGUAAACCCAAAAAGAACAAAUCCAGUAUGAUUUCGUUUCUAUGACGUACAUAAAAUAGAUGAAUUCAUAGAGACAAAAAGUAGAAUCCAGGGGAGUGGAAUGAGUGUUUGCUAAGUACAGAAUUUCUGUUUGGGAUGAUAAAGUUCUGGAAAUAGUGAUGGUUGCACAAGCACUAAAUGUACUUACUGCCACUGAGUUGUAUACUCAAAAAUAGUUGAAAUUGUAUGCUUUGUGUUACGGAUAUUUUACCACAUUAAAAAAAAAAAAAAAAGCACAUGAGAGGUUGAGAGGAGGCUGAUCAGGCAGUGACAACCUUGAUCUUAAUGUUUAAAAUAAACCAGAGGGGUGUGGAGGCGGAUGGGGCCAGGGCUCUGCAGGUGGCUGUCAGGUAGCUCCUAUGCCACGCCCCUGACACCUCCAGGACAGACCUUGCAGCCCCUAUGGCAGCAGAAAAGGGGUGGAGCCUCAAGUCAGACAGGGGUCAGGGAGGGACAUAAACCUCCUGCCGUGUCCCCUACCCAUCACGUGCCUCCCCCACAGACCCGGAAAAGACCCACUUGCUGCUUCCAACACCGCCAGACACUUCUGGUGGCUGGUGUGGCUCCUGGGUAGAGGAGGUCAGCCCUGAGUCCAGGGGGGUCUCAAGGUGUGGUCCCCUGGGAAUGUUCUAAAUGCUAAUUCUCAGGCCCUACCCUGGACUUACUGAUCCAAAACCCUAGAUGUGGGGCCCAACAGUGUGUUUCAACAAGUCAUCCUCUGGGAGACUCUGAUGUUGGGGAACCACUGUUCCCAACCCCUGCAGGAAGAGCUGGAUGCUUUUCUGGGCAAUAACCCCAUGCAUUUAGUGAGCACCUCCUGAGUGCAAAGCCCCAGACUGUGUGCAACUGGGGGACACAAGGCAAGCCAUCACAGGAAGCACCCUUCCUAUGGGAUGCUCGGACCCCAAGGACAUCAGAGGGCAUGAGCAGCUGGGAGCCCAGGUAGGGUAGGUGAGCCUGCAUCACACCCUCUCCUGGUGUGGGCACACCUGGCAUGGCCGGCCAGGGCCCCUUUGCCACAAGCUGCCAUGGUGCUGCUGUGUCAGCACCAUGCUCUCAGCUCAGCUGCCUGUGUACAUAAAGCAGAUGUGUCUUUCCUUGGCGUUCUCUUAUGGCAUGGCAGGUUAGGGAUCCAUCGUUGUCACUGCAGCAGCUCGGGUCACUGCUGUGGCACAGGUUUGAUCCCUGGCCCAGGAACUUCUUCAUGCUGUGAGCAUGGCCAAAAAAAAAAA
rnacentral:lncRNA from 1 species